rnacentral:rRNA from 1 species
UACGUAGGGGGCAAGCGUUGUCCGGAAUUAUUGGGCGUAAAGCGCGUGUAGGCGGCCAGACAAGUCCGCUGUGAAAUCUCGAGGCUCAACCUCGAGACGUCGGUUGAAACCACCUGGCUAGAGUCCGGAAGAGGAGAGUGGAAUUUCCGGUGGAGCGGUGAAAUGCGUAGAGAUCGGAAAGAACACCAACGGCGAAAGCACUCUGCUGGGCCGACACUGACACUGAGAGACGAAAGCUAGGGGAGCAAAUGGG